rnacentral:lncRNA from 1 species
AUGUUCUCAUUUAUUCUUCUAGCAAGUGAGAUUGGUGUAGGGCCCUUCACCCAUAUCCGAGACCGCGGAGCAGCAGGAGACAUGACAUCAGUGACCAGUGAAUCUACUGCAGGUGCCAUGGCCUCAAGUGCCACAGAAACCUUACCAAAUCCUGAUUUGUCAGUGAGACCUACCACACUAGAGCCAGGCUCAGCUGCCCUAACUUCCACUGCUACCAGCACCAUUCCAACAUUAUCUGGAGAAGACACAAACACCCCAUUGUUGUCUAUAGAAGGACCAACAGAAGAUAAAACAGUGUCCAGGACCUUCCCAGAGAAUUUAGACACUCCUGGUAUCACUCACAGGGAGCACUACUUCACAGGUCCUGGAAUAACUUUUCAACCUGACAUAGCCUCUACUUCUCUGCCCAAUUUAAGUGAAGGGAUCAGUUACUCCAGAAAUAUCCCCUCACCCUCUUUAGGGAGUUGGAAAAGCACUGCCAUUAUUGGAGUCUGGACAAGCCCAGCUGAACCUCUCACUCCGGAGCCCAAGAAGCCCACCCCCGCUGAGGGUUCCCUCUGUAUUGGACCAGUGACUGAAUUUAGCAGCAGGGAAAAUGGACAUUUACAGAAUAGCUUGGCCUCUGCUGUGACCUUUAACUCUCCACUACCAAGUAUCACUGCUUCUAGCAGAAUGGAUGUAGACUCAGAAAUGGUGUCAGGAUUAGCACCCUGGACAGCCAGAUCCUCAUCACAAGUAGAAGUCAGUUCUCCCAAUCUGGUUGUCACCACAGGAGAUGGACCCUCCCUGGGAAUGGAACCUCACAAUCCCAUCCACGAAUCUCUGAGCUCAAGGCCAGGCUCCUUUCUUGCCUUAAGUACUCCCACAGCCUGCACAAGAACAGCUUCCCUUGACACUGCUACUUCAUUGGAGGACCCAGGGCCAGCCGGCCUGACUCCAGAGACUGAGAGAAACCCACAGGCAACACCAACUCCAGUUAUCACCCUGCCUCCAACCAGCACACAGGAAGUUUGCACAACAGCAUCUCCCAGUCCUCCUGACACAACCACAGAGGGCAGGAGUGUCAAGGCAGGGACAGCCUCUGUUUCUGAUCAAGUGCCUUCCACUUCCUGCCUCUUCCCAAGAGGUGAUGCUGGUGUGGUGCCAGUCACACAUGCUCAAGGCCAUGAAGGACCAGGAAGCACAGGAGCUACUGAUGAGGAGCCCCCUGACCCCUGUGUCUACUGUUAUUCCCACAGAUGGCGACCACUAGAUUGGAUGAGAACUUCUCAAAAUUUUUUUAGCCUAAAGAAUUUUUUUUUUAAGCCAAGGUUCUCCAAGAUGCUCUUUAGAAAACCAUCUUGAUCAGCUCCUGCCUGCGGCCCUCUCCAGCUCCUGCUUCUGCUCCUGGCCUCUCACCUGGUGCCUGAGCUGUGCUCCAGCUCCCGGCCUGACCCACCCCGGCGGUCUGUCUCUCACCCAUCUGGCCUCCGACCAGGCAGCUCAUCACCCCAGCCCCAGACCCAGAAGUGUGACCCCAGCCGGCUCAUCACCCAGAUCCUUGGAACAGAUUGCUGAGGACUCAUUGCGACCAGCUGGUAACAGUAUUGGCCACGUGGGCGGAGGGGAGAGACGAGAGAGAAAAGAGAGACUAGAGAGAAAAAACAGAUUUUUUCAAACAAAAAGUUAAAAAAAGCAAUGGGCUGUGUAAAAAGAUACUUUUUUACUAUUCUGGUAAUAGCAUUGACUUCACCUGUGUGUCAGGGAGAAGAUUCAACUAAAUUUGAAGGGGAAAAUGGGUGGCCCAGCGAACUGAAAGCCAGGCCCAGAGACGGGAGGUCUCUAGUUAAAAUCUGGCCUCUGAUGCUUCCCAGCUAUGGGGCCCUGGACGGAUCCCUUGAACCCCAUAGCCUAGCCUUUACUACUCUACCUUUGGACAAUAGACAUUUAAAUGGAUAAUUAAAAACAAACAAAAAAAAAAAAACCCAAGGAACUUUGAAGAGACUAAAGGCUAUAUUCUAAGGCAUUUCAGACUCCAAUGGUUUAUAAAAAAUCUCUGUAUUCUAUUGCAUUUUUUGUUUAAGGUUUAACUUUGUGAUUUUAAGUUCAUAUAUUACUGGAUUCAAUAUUAUUCUGCUUGAACUGAAGGUUGAUUGAAUUUAUUUUGAAUGUACUGAGUUUUAAAAAUUCUGUUGUUUUUCCCCUGUAACUGUAUUGAACAAAUAUUAUUGUGAAUAAGCCCAUAUAUGAAAAAACAGCUUUUUUCUAUUUUGCUAAUGAUAGAUGGACUUCUGAACUGGUUAUAAUUGUAUUAACAACCUUUGGGAUUUUAAUGUGCUAAAUACUUCAAAUGAUUUGAUUUUAAGGGUUUUUUAAAUAUGAUUUUUGGAAUUUUUUUUAACAAUCUGGUUAUUUUUGCCUGCCCCUACCAGGAGGUAAGGCCCAUUAGCUGAAGUGAAAUACAUUUUAUAACCCCCAACCUUCCCACAUGUGAAUGGAAGUUGGGCAGUUAAUCUCAGGGCAUUUGUAUCCCUAUAAGCCUCCAAGAAAAAGGAGCACCCCUUUAUUUAUGCUCUUCAGCUCACUAUUUUACUUCUACCAGAAUGUUAUAUAGAUUUCUUGAUUAUGUUCUAAACCCAAGAUGAGUUUUACUUUGUUUUAAAAAAAUAUGUUUAAAUACCAAGGUUGAAGGAUUGCUAUGUUUGUAAAGAUUGUGACAAAUGUCCAUCAAUUCAUAGGUUUUAAAAAUGUCAUACAGCAACUUAUGUGAAAUAUGAAAAUGUGUUUGUUUGCUAUUGUAAUUAAUUGGGCUAUUGAGAAUUUUGGGGAUUUUGAUAUCUACAUAUUUGUACUACUAUAUUUUUAAAGAUGAAAAAAUUGUUAACCUUGUUCAAUUCAUUUGCCUUCUACUCACAGUGAUCAUGGCCAGAUAUAAAGAGGAAAUGGAUCUCAUUUUUUGGUGAGAAAGCCUUGCAUUUUAUAUUUUCUUAGCUGACACAGAUUGUCAAUGAUUAUAAGCUAUAUUUUUGAAUUUUUUAAAGCUCUUUUAUUAUUAUAUUUUUCUUGCAUGUGCAAUAUACUUUUUCAGUUUUUUUAUUAUUUUUUCUCUCCUUUUUAUAUUUGAAGCACAUGUCACCAGUAUUAAGAUUUUCUUUAACCUUUUGAUUUUCAGUGCUACAAGUUUAAGAUACAUUUGCUAAUGCAUGCCCUAAAAAGUUUGUGACUAUAAAAAUGAUGCCACUAAUUAUUUAAAUAAAUUAUGGGACUUUGCUUAAUGAUUCUGUCUG